UACGAAGGGGGCUAGCGUUACUCGGAAUUACUGGGCGUAAAGGGCGCGUAGGCGGCUCUGUGAGUCAGGCGUGAAAUUCCUGGGCUUAACCUGGGGACUGCGCUUGAUACUGCGGGGCUUGAGGCCGAGAGAGGGUGGUGGAAUUCCCAGUGUAGAGGUGAAAUUCGUAGAUAUUGGGAAGAACACCGGUGGCGAAGGCGACCACCUGGCUCGGUACUGACGCUGAGGCGCGACAGCGUGGGGAG
rnacentral:rRNA from 1 species